NNNNCCCUGGUGGAUGAGGGAAUGGCAGUGGCCAAGACCUCUUUACAGGCCGCUCUAGACUCAGCCGACGCUGCGGCUAGAACAAUUGCGUCGGGAGUCGUGAUGAGGCGUUCGGCGUGGUUGCAGGCUUCAGGUCUCCCGCCGGAGGUACAGACCACGCUGCAGGACCUCCCGUUUGAAGGUUCGGGCUUGUUUUCCGACCAGACGGACGCCAGGCUGCAUAGCCUUAAGGACUCACGAGCGACCCUUAAGUCGUUGGGUAUGCACACGCCGGUGACGCAGCGUAAGCCCUUCAAACCCCAGCCGCCGCAAAGGCAUUACCACCCUCGGCCCCGACACGAGCCUUACCGCCGUCGAGGCAGGGAUAACAGGCGGAGACGAAACAAUACGCCUAACCAGGGCCAGAAUCAUGGCCAGGGCAAGCCACAGCCGGGAAAUAAACCAGGCUUUUGAAGCUACGCCCGAGGACAGCGUACCACUUCAUAUUCCGGAUCCUCCUUUGGGUUUCAAGGACCGUCUGUCCCGUUUCUACCGGGCCUGGUCGCGCAUAACAUCGGACCGCUGGGUCCUGCGCACAGUGAAGGCGGGCUAUACCCUCCAGUUUUCCUCGCCCCCUCCCUGCCAUCCCCCUUCCCCGUCCCUCUUCAGGGACCCUUCUCACGAGCAACUCCUCAUACAGGAGGUACAGACCCUUCUCGCUGCAGGAGCAGUAGAAGAGGUCCCUCUGGACCUAAGGGGAAAAGGAUUCUAUUCCAGAUACUUCCUGAUUCCCAAGGCAAAAGGGGGCCUCCGUCCUAUCUUGGACCUGCGCGAUCUAAACAGGUUCCUGAUCAAAGCGCGCUUCCGUAUGGUCUCCCUUGGAACUAUUAUUCCAUCCCUGGAUCCGGGGGAUUGGUAUGCUGCCCUCGAUAUGAAAGAUGCCUAUUUUCACAUCGCAAUCAAUCUGGCCCACAGGCGUUUUCUGCACUUCGUCGUCGGCCAGCGCCAUUUCCAAUUUACGGUCCUUCCCUUCGGCCUGGCGUCAGCACCACGAGUGUUUACGAAGUGCAUGUCCGUGGUAGCAGCCUUCCUUCGAAAAAGAAGGAUGCGUGUGUUCCCGUACCUGGACGAUUGGCUACUCGCGGGCAGGUCGGAGGCCGAAGUCCGAUUUCACGUAACGCUGGCCUUGCAGACGUUCGACAAGCUCGGCCUCCGGGUCAAUGUGCCGAAAUCCACGUUAGUCCCCACACAGAGGCUGGACUUCAUAGGUGCUACCCUGGACUCGGUAACCGCGCAAGCGAGUUUACCAGAGGCACGGUUCAUGUCAAUUCACGGGGCCGUAAGCUCGGUCCAAAAAUUUCCCACGACAAUGGCAAGGUGUUGCAUGCAGCUUCUGGGGCAUAUGGGAGCUUGCACACACGUGGUCAGACAUGCCUGGCUGAGGCUCCGGCCUUUACAGUUGUGGUUCGCCCACACGCAUCGCCCCAACAGAGACCCAUUGGAUCAAGUAGUCACGAUCCCGAACCAGGUACUCAGCUCGCUACGCUGGUGGCUCGAUCGCCAGCAGGUAUGCGAGGGGAUCCCCUUUGCUGCCCCACAACCCACUCUGACGUUAGUGACAGAUGCAUCAGACAUGGGUUGGGGGGCGCACCUGGGGGAACUGCGGACCCAAGGGCUGUGGUCCAGAGAGGACAAGCUGCUUCACUUCAAUCUGAAGGAGCUAAGAGCGGUUCGCCUCGCCUGCCAGACCUUCCAUGCCUUCCUAAAAGGUCACAGCGUGGCAGUCCUGACGGCCAACACUACCGCCAUGUUCUAUAUAAACAAGCAGGGCGGGUCCCGGUCUUCUCCCCUCUGUCACGAAGCACUCCAAUUAUGGAACUUCUGUAUAGCCCAUGCGAUACACCUCAUCGUGACGUAUCUUCCGGGAAUUCAAAACGGCUUAGCGAUGGUCGGUCGGGCUGU
rnacentral:lncRNA from 1 species